rnacentral:rRNA from 1 species
UACGUAGGUGGCAAGCGUUGUCCGGAUUUACUGGGCGUAAAGAGCGCGCAGGCGGUCGACCAAGUCGCGUGUGAAAGCCCCCGGCUCAACUGGGGAGGGUCACGCGAUACUGAUCGACUCGAAGGCAGGAGAGGGUAGUGGAAUUCCCGGUGUAGUGGUGAAAUGCGUAGAUAUCGGGAGGAACACCAGUGGCGAAGGCGGAUCUCUGGGCCGAUACUGACGCUGAGGAGCGAAAGCGUGGGGAGCGAACAGG